AUGGCGGAAGGCUUAGCUCUCAAAUUUGGUCUAUCACUGGCGCAAAGGGCGGGGUGUAAUCGCCUUAUUAUUAACUCGAAUAACCUGGAGGUGAUUGAAACUAUGCAGGAUGGAGGACAAUCGGCGGGUGCGGUGUUUGACGAUUAUUAUUUUAUGGUGUGUGAUUUUCCUCUUUUUAUGUUUGAACAUUGUAAUAGGGAAGCAAAUCAGGUUGCUCAUGAACUUGCUAGGUUAGCUAAUUUUUCUAUGACAAUGGAUUGGUUUGAGGAACCUAUGAAUGAUAUUGUAUCUUUUCUUAUUGACGAUGUAACUGUUAUUUCCAAUAAAUAA
rnacentral:rRNA from 1 species